AGGCUCUGCAGUGUGCAUGGAGGCACGUUCCUCUGCUGACACUGCUACAAGGUGGAGUGCUCAGCAGACAGAUUCCUCUGUCUGGUUGGUAUUGGCAGCUGGAUUAUCAAGAUGUCUUGAGAAAGUACUUCUGCAAGUAUUUUUCAUGUAAUCAAAGCCGUUAGCACUGAAAUAUCUUCCUCAGAAAGGAUUCUCCUGUGCUGGUCUCAGGAUCGUACUUCAAAAACAAGAACAGAGCUACUUCAUGCAUAUACUGCACACCUAUCCUAAAGUCACAUGGGCCAUGGCACAGUGGUUGAACUGGCUGGAAGAGAAGCCUUCUGACCAUCUGCUUUAUACCCGGACUUCAAAUUUGAGUCCUCACUUAAAGGCACAGCAGUUCCUUGACUUCAGCUAAUUACCACGUUCCCUUGAAGGAGUGAUGCCUCUCCCAAGCUUCUGUGCUAGCACCAUGAGAGAACUGAUCUAUGGGCUACUCAGUGGUUACUUACAUCAUUCUUGUGUUUCCAGCCAUGUGACUUGACCGCAGGCUUUCAAAAGGUAAUCUGGGGAGAUUUCAUCAAAUGCUAAAAUGUUCCUAGACAUUACUGGAGCCAUGAUGUAAUGAGCCAAGGUUUUGUUCUUUAAAUUCCUCUUUGCUGAAAACCACAGGCCCCAAAAAUUAUUCAGAGCAGCUUCAG
rnacentral:lncRNA from 1 species